rfam:Myotis davidii contig210793, whole genome shotgun sequence.
GCCAGUUUGGCUCAGUGGAUAGAGCUUCAGCCUGGAAACUGAAGGGUCGUGGGUUCAAUUCCUGUCAAGAGUCA